AUUGAACGCUGGCGGCAUGCCUUACACAUGCAAGUCGAACGGCAGCGGGGACUUCGGUCCGCCGGCGAGUGGCGAACGGGUGAGUAAUGUAUCGGAACGUACCUUUCAGUGGGGGAUAACGUAGCGAAAGUUACGCUAAUACCGCAUAUUCUCUGAGGAGGAAAGCAGGGGACCUUCGGGCCUUGUGCUGAUGGAGCGGCCGACGUCUGAUUAGCUAGUAGGUGAGGUAAAGGCUCACCUAGGCGACGAUCAGUAGCGGGUCUGAGAGGAUGAUCCGCCACACUGGGACUGAGACACGGCCCAGACUCCUACGGGAGGCAGCAGUGGGGAAUUUUGGACAAUGGGCGAAAGCCUGAUCCAGCCAUGCCGCGUGUCUGAAGAAGGCCUUCGGGUUGUAAAGGACUUUUGUCAGGGAGGAAAUCCCUAGUGCUAAUAACACUGGGGGAUGACAGUACCUGAAGAAUAAGCACCGGCUAACUACGUGCCAGCCGCCGCCGUAAAAC
rnacentral:rRNA from 1 species